rnacentral:rRNA from 1 species
AACGUGGGUAACCUGCCCAUCAGAGGGGGAUAACAUUCGGAAACGAAUGCUAAAACCGCAUAGGUCUUCGAACCGCAUGGUUUGAAGAGGAAAAGAGGCGCAAGCUUCUGCUGAUGGAUGGACCCGCGGUGCAUUAGCUAGUUGGUGAGGUAACGGCUCACCAAGGCCGUGAUGCAUAGCCGACCUGAGAGGGUGAUCGGCCACAUUGGGACUGAGACACGGCCCAA